UUCUCGAGAAGAGCUGACAUGCAACUGAGAUGCUAAGGUGAUGGUAUUCCAAACCAACCAUGCUAUGUCAUGUUGAAAAGUUAAAACAUAUGACGGUUUGWGAUGGGCUUGAAAUGCCAACACCAUCGCAUCUCAUGUUCCACGUAAGUUACUCUCCACU
rnacentral:pre_miRNA from 1 species